AUAUCUUUGCUUGCAUUUACUGCGGAUACUGGCAGCUCUUCAUCUGUCCAACUGAAUAUUUACUUUUACUCUAUAGAGUGAAUUGGAUUCCGCUCAGUUAAUACUGGCAGAAAGAUAACACACUAUAAAUACGUUAAGUUAUUCCCCAAUCUGGUACGUGAAAAAAGCGGUCAGCGCAAUGCAUUUGAUAGAUACAACAAAAACAGACGGCGGAGCACAAAAUCUGACCUUUGCGAUAAAUUCUGAUUGCAGUUCUUUUUCGGACGGGAUCAACUUUGAUGUUAAGCUUAUUCAGCAUGACUUGAGAAUCGUGUCUGCAAACAACGGUUGUACGAUUUCAGAGACAUGAAAUAUGCUGGUUUAUCAUCACUACCUAACAAGAAAUCACAGUAGUCAGUGGAUUUUGCUCAGUUUGAAAAAAGUCGCCAGCUUUCAUGUCCAACUCAAAUUCUUCAGCAAACCAGCGAACUAUCCGUACAAAAUUGUUGGGCUGUAUUGUUUGCUGUAUCAAUAUAUAUGUAUGUAAAUGGUUCGGAUCAAUUUUUGGAACUAGAUAACGAUACUUAUCGAAUACGAUCCAUUGGAUUCACCACUAAAUCUACUAACCGAUAAGAUUACAGUCUGGUAACGAAUGGUAAUAUAACGAGUUAUCAAUUAUUCAAUUACCCAGAUAACACAAAAUCGUAAUAGAAAGUUCACAUUAAAUCGUU